UAAUACCUCUGGAUUUUGGAACCUGACU
rnacentral:piRNA from 1 species